GACGAACGCUGGCGGCGCGCUUAACACAUGCAAGUCGAGCGAAGCGGCGGACGGGUGAGUAACACGUGAGUAACCUGCCUUAGACAUUGGGAUAGCCUCGGGAAACCGGGAUUAAUACCAAAUGGUCUAAGAUGGACUCGCGUCCCAUUAGCUAGUUGGUGGGUAACGGCCCACCAAGGCGACGAUGGGUAGCCGGCAUGAGAGGGUGAACGGCCACAUUGGAACUGAGAAACGGUCCAAACUCUACGGGAGGCAGCAGUGGGGAAUAUUGCACAAUGGAGGGAACUCUGAUGCAGCGACGCCGCGUGAACGAAGAAGGCUUUCGAGUCGUAAAGUUCUUUUAUAUAAGAAUAGUAUGUAUACUGUUUUGUAUGUAUUAUAUGAAUAAGGAUCGGCUAACUCCGUGCCAGCAGCCGCGGUAAUAC
rnacentral:rRNA from 1 species